rnacentral:rRNA from 1 species
CGUAGACUCCUACGGGAGGCAGCAGUGGGGAAUAUUGCACAAUGGGCGCAAGCCUGAUGCAGCCAUGCCGCGUGUAUGAAGAAGGCCUUCGGGUUGUAAAGUACUUUCAGCAGUGAGGAAGGUGGAGUCGUUAAUAGCGGCCUCAUUUGACGUUAGCUGCAGAAGAAGCACCGGCUAACUCCGUGCCAGCAGCCGCGGUAAUACGGAGGGUGCGAGCGUUAUCCGGAUUUAUUGGGUUUAAAGGGUCCGUAGGCGGGUUAAUAAGUCAGUGGUGAAAUCCCAUCGCUUAACGAUGGAACUGCCAUUGAUACUGUUAGUCUUGAAUGAGGGUGCAGUGGUUGGAAUGUGUAGUGUAGCGGUGAAAUGCAUAGAUAUUACACAGAACACCGAUUGCGAAGGCAGAUCACUAACCCUAAAUUGACGCUGAGGGACGAAAGCGUGGGGAGCGAACAGGAUUAGAUACCCUGGUAG